GAGUUUGAUCAUGGCUCAGGACGAACGCUGGCGGCGUGCCUAAUACAUGCAAGUAGAACGCUGAAGAGAGGAGCUUGCUCUUCUUGGAUGAGUUGCGAACGGGUGAGUAACGCGUAGGUAACCUGCCUGGUAGCGGGGGAUAACUAUUGGAAACGAUAGCUAAUACCGCAUAAAAUUGAUUAUUGCAUGAUAAUUAAUUGAAAGAUGCAAUUGCAUCACUACCAGAUGGACCUGCGUUGUAUUAGCUAGUUGGUGAGGUAACGGCUCACCAAGGCGACGAUACAUAGCCGACCUGAGAGGGUGAUCGGCCACACUGGGACUGAGACACGGCCCAGACUCCUACGGGAGGCAGCAGUAGGGAAUCUUCGGCAAUGGGGGGAACCCUGACCGAGCAACGCCGCGUGAGUGAAGAAGGUUUUCGGAUCGUAAAGCUCUGUUGUAAGAGAAGAACGGGUGUGAGAGUGGAAAGUUCACACUGUGACGGUAUCUUACCAGAAAGGGACGGCUAACUACGUGCCAGCAGCCGCGGUAAUACGUAGGUCCCGAGCGUUGUCCGGAUUUAUUGGGCGUAAAGCGAGCGCAGGCGGUUAGAUAAGUCUGAAGUUAAAGGCUGUGGCUUAACCAUAGUAUGCUUUGGAAACUGUUUAACUUGAGUGCAGAAGGGGAGAGUGGAAUUCCAUGUGUAGCGGUGAAAUGCGUAGAUAUAUGGAGGAACACCGGUGGCGAAAGCGGCUCUCUGGUCUGUAACUGACGCUGAGGCUCGAAAGCGUGGGGAGCAAACAGGAUUAGAUACCCUGGUAGUCCACGCCGUAAACGAUGAGUGCUAGGUGUUAGGCCCUUUCCGGGGCUUAGUGCCGCAGCUAACGCAUUAAGCACUCCGCCUGGGGAGUACGACCGCAAGGUUGAAACUCAAAGGAAUUGACGGGGGCCCCCACAAGCGGUGGAGCAUGUGGUUUAAUUCGAAGCAACGCGAAGAACCUUACCAGGUCUUGACAUCCCUCUGACCGCUCUAGAGAUAGAGUUUUCCUUCGGGACAGAGGUGACAGGUGGUGCAUGGUUGUCGUCAGCUCGUGUCGUGAGAUGUUGGGUUAAGUCCCGCAGCGAGCGCAACCCCUAUUGUUAGUUGCCAUCAUUCAGUUGGGCACUCUAGCGAGACUGCCGGUAAUAAACCGGAGGAAGGUGGGGAUGACGUCAAAUCAUCAUGCCCCUUAUGACCUGGGCUACACACGUGCUACAAUGGCUGGUACAACGAGUCGCAAGCCGGUGACGGCAAGCUAAUCUCUGAAAGCCAGUCUCAGUUCGGAUUGUAGGCUGCAACUCGCCUACAUGAAGUCGGAAUCGCUAGUAAUCGCGGAUCAGCACGCCGCGGUGAAUACGUUCCCGGGCCUUGCACACACCGCCCGUC
rnacentral:rRNA from 1 species